rnacentral:misc_RNA from 1 species
UAAAGGUUUUAUAAAACAGGCCUUGGUGUCUCUGUACUGUAUUAAAUCAUGAACAAGAAAUCAUAUUAAAUCGGACCUCUAUAAUCUAUUAAGCAUGUGUAAUUUCAUAGAGAUGUUCCAGCCAUGAAUGCAAGGUUUUUUGCCUCUGAUACAACCUUCUACAUCCCUAUUGCAAGUUACUGCAGUGAUUAAUGAGAAAAUUUCAAACAGGUCAUCUAUUUAAAACUCACAAGUCACAAUAUAUAGGUUAGAGAAACAGAAAGCAUGGUAAGCAACAAACUAGAAAGUACUUUAUAAUAAGCUGUCUGUUCUAGCUGGCAAUCUCUUGAAGAAGUUGCUGGGCACAGAAGGCAGCUUGCUUCGAAACCUAGGAUGUCGCAGAUGAUACAGACCAGCAACCAGAGCGACCGCUCGGAAUGGUGUUACAUAGAGAACAACAGCUGCGCAAAGACAGAACAUGAUAAAAAGACUGGUUGCUCUGGGGUCCCUCCAGCUGAGAAGGGACCCCAGCCUCUCCCCUUGUGUUGCAAUGUCACCCACUACUGUUUGUAUCCUGCCUGCAACACUUCUAAGCCUGUCAUACCUCAUUCGAACCAUAUCAUGGGGUUUGGAAGUUGGAAACGUGUCGAAUUCCUCAUCAAGUUCAUCAGGGUGCACUGCUUCUGCCCAAGACAGUUUUGUAUCCAUGUGAGGUGGAUGCCUUGGCCGGGACCUAUAGUUCCAUAUUCCAAUAAGGAACAUGUAGAGAAAGAGAGUUGGCAGGAUCAACUCUGGAUACCAUAUCAGUAUCAGAAACAGAAUAUGAACUAGAACUGAUGUGAUUGGAUUCUUCCAUUGGCAAAUACCAGCAAGCCAUCUGCUCAUGGAGAUCAUACCAGAGAGAAGUGACAUGAUUCUGAAGAAGUUUGCUUUGCUUCUUCGCAUGCUCCACAUGUGGGAAUCCACAUCUAACAUAUACUCCACCACUUCUUUUCUCAGGGGCGGUUCAGCUCGACCAAGCCUUGUUGCCACAAUACUCAUGGCUUGGUAUCUUAAAUUGUCAACUUGAUUCACUGUGAAGGGAUGCAGGUAAUGCAUUUUGGGCAGCAAAGGAUGCCCAUACACAUAUAUCAUGUUAGCAAGAGACAAGGUAGUGAAUCGAAUUGCGAGCUGCAGUUCACCCAUUUUCUUCACUCCAUUUGGGUGCAGGACAAGAAGUGGAUAUGAAUGUGUAUAAAUUCGAAAAGCUUCCAAGGUAGAUAGUCGUAUUCUCACCUUUCCGAUUCGUGCGUCUCUUGCUGCACUAGGAGCAUUUGGUUUCUCUCCUCCUCCCAAAUGGCAGUUAUCGAAAACUCCCAAUGUUAUAACUGUGCAGGGAUCAUAGACUUCCCAGGUGUAUUGCUCAUUCCAUUUCGGAUUGAAGGUGUCAAGAAUGGUUCUAGUCCGAACCCACUUCUGGCCAUACUUAGCUACACAAUAAGCAUCUGUGCUUCCCCUGCCAACCUUCAUCUUCAUCGGAAGAAGACCUUGUGCACUCAAGAUGCCUACUUCCAAUAUGCCAACAGGUUGUUUCCAUAGCUGCCUUGCUGUUGGCCUUUGAUCACUGAUGUACAUUGUUGAUUCAUCGAGGACAUGGUAUCCGCCUUCAAGACAAACUCUUAGGUGAAUCCUGCUUGCAAAUUUAAGUUCUUUUCUCCUGUCAGCUUCCAAGACACCGAAGCCAAAUUUCUCCAGAUUGAACCAUCGAGAAUGAACUGGUCUGUGAUCAAGCCUUUUCUCAAAAAUGUUGAGCGGUAAGCUUAUCUUCCCUAACACAUCUUCUCUUGUAGGGUGUACUCGAUCCUCAACAGUAAGCAGCAGCUGCUCCUCAAAAGGCUCAGCUGCCACAAACACCAAAUCUUCAUUCCAGAGUGGGUUAGUGGUUCGACUUGGGUUUAUCUUGGUCUUCAGAAUCUGAUUUCCAACCUGAACUUUUACAAAUACUUCUGGGAUGCGGCUUCUAUCAUUUGGCACAAUGUCCUGAGCUUCAAUCACAUUCACCCUCAGGUACCACAGUUUUGGUGAUACAUAGACUUUUGAUCGUAUGCUGAGAACACCCUCUCCAUAGACUGAGGAAGCAUCGGCGUGCCAUGCUUCUGGAAAGGCCUCGUCAGCUUGUGUUCCCAUCCAAACU